rnacentral:rRNA from 1 species
AGCAGCUUCGGUAAUUCCAGCUCCAAUAGCGUAUAUUAAAGUUGUUGCAGUUAAAAAGCUCGUAGUUGAAUUUCGGGGUCAGUAGAUUGGUCGUGCCACUGGUAUGUACUGGUCUUACUGGCUCCUCCUUCCUGAUGAACCGUAAUGCCAUUAAUUUGGUGUUGCGGGGAAACUGGACUGUUACUUUGAAAAAAUUAGAGUGUUUAAAGCAGGCUAACGCUUGAAUACAUUAGCAUGGAAUAAUGAAAUAGGACGUUCGAUCUUAUUUUGUUGGUUUCUAGGAUUGACGUAAUGAUUAAUAGGGAUAGUUGGGGGCAUUAGUAUUCAAUUGUCAGAGGUGAAAUUCUUGGAUUUAU